rnacentral:rRNA from 1 species
AUGAGCAGAACUCGGUCCCAUUACAGGAGAAGAAGAAGGCACACAAAAGAAAGACUAAGAAGGGUGCGAGCCAGCCGGCACCGAGUACGAUCCGUGCUCAGGACAGGCCACCUUCACCGCAGGAUAUCUCGAGGAGGGUGCAUGUGGCAGGUAGGGCGAUGCUACCACCAAAUAUGCUCAAUGCUGCAACCGGUGCUAUGCGGAGUCUGCACGACAGUGUUCUUUCUUUGGAGAAGCGGCGUCUCAGAGAGAAGGAUGUGGCAUACCCGGUUUUCGUGGCCAAGGUGCCAGAGGGCAAGGGCUUUGUGGAUGGCGACAUCGGGGGUACGAUCGUCCUGCGGUUUGAUGACAUCUUUGCUAUGUUUAACCUUCAUCCGCUGCACUACACCUUCGUUCGGCUAUUUUCGCUGA